rnacentral:ribozyme from 2 species
UAGGUAACUCCGCCUAUGUCACUUGAGGUGUGAUUUUAAUGACAUAGCCGGUCCCAAGCCCGGAAAAGGAGGAGGGGAUA